UACGUAGGGGGCAAGCGUUGUCCGGAUUUAUUGGGCGUAAAGAGCGUGUAGGCGGCCAGGUAGGUCCGUUGUGAAAACUCGAGGCUCAACCUCGAGACGUCGAUGGAAACCAUUUGGCUAGAGUCCGGAAGAGGAGAGUGGAAUUCCUGGUGUAGCGGUGAAAUGCGCAGAUAUCAGGAAGAACACCUAUGGCGAAGGCAGCUCUCUGGGACGGUACUGACGCUGAGACGCGAAAGCGUGGGGAGCGAACAGG
rnacentral:rRNA from 1 species